rnacentral:rRNA from 1 species
GCAUAUCAAUAAGCGGAGGAAAAGAAACCAACAGGGAUUGCCCUAGUAACGGCGAGCGAACCGGGAAUAGCCCAACUUGAAAAUCUCUUCGGAGAAUUGUAGUCUAGAGAGGCGACCUCUGCGGCUGGCCGGGCCCAAGUUCCCUGGAAAGGGGCGUCAGAGAGGGUGAGAACCCCGUAGGCACGGCUUCCGUCGCUCCACGAGGCGCUUUCCACGAGUCGAGUUGUUUGGGAAU